GGGGGGAGGCCGGAUCCAGGGCUGUGUCCCUGUGCCCAGUGCUCCAGGGCCUGCGCUGUUGGAUUCGUGCUCCCGGUGGUGCAGCCCCCU
rnacentral:pre_miRNA from 1 species